rnacentral:lncRNA from 1 species
CUGAGUUCUUGAACAGUUCAGUGCAGCUAUUGUUAUUUUGUUUCUUCUCUUUCUUUGUUUUCCAGACUGGGUCUUGCUGUGUUAUCAGGGAUGACCUCAACUUACAAUGCACUCUAGAUGGGGAUGUUUGGGGUCAGUUCUGCCAGCAACCCAGUAGAGUGAAUAACCAAGCCUGCAUAACACGGUGACACCGUAAACCCCAAACUCAUUUUGAGGGAAAACUACAUCCACACAAUUGAUCGAGGUGAUCGGUUUGGCCGUAAGGGUGUGGCUAUUAGCAUGGUGACAGAAGAAAACAGAGGACUCUUCGAGACAUUGAGACUUUAUACAACACCUCCAUUGAAGAGAUGCCCCUCAACGUUGCUGACUGCAUUUAAGGGGCUGUCCUGCUACCUGGCCCUAGCCCAGGGUUCAGUCCUGUAGGGCCGAGGACCAGCUGGAGGGGGGAGUGAAGGGAGCCAAAGGAUAGACAUCUUGUUUUUUGCUUUUUUUGUUCCAUUUUUAUUUGUUUGUUUGUCCCCCCCCC